CAGGUAGGGAUAAAAAAGAGGUUAUAACUCCUCCCCCGUCACAGGUAGAGAUAGAGGGAGAUAUUAUAACUCCUCCCCCGUCCGAGGUAGGGAUACAGAGAGAUUAUAACUCCUCCCCCGUCAAAGGUGGGGAUACAAAGAGAUUAUAACUCCUCCCCCGUCACAGGUAGAGAUAGAGGGAGAUAUUAUAACUCCUCCCCCGUCAAAGGUAGGGAUACAGAGGUGAUAACUCCUCCCCCGUCACAGGUAGCAAUACAAAGAGGUUAUAACUCCUCCCCGUCACAGGUAGAGAUAGAGGUUUUAACUCCUCCCCCGUCACAGGUAGAGAUAUAGUGAGAGAUUAUAACUCCUCCCCCGUCACAGGUAGAGAUAGAGGGAGAGAUUAUAACUCCUCCCCCGUCACAGGUAGCAAUACAAAGAUGUUAUAACUCCUCCCCCGUCACAGGUAGGGAUACAGAGGUUAUAACUCCUCCCCCGUCACAGGUAGGGACUGAUAAAAAACCUCAGUGUUACCCCUUAUAUUUUUUUUGACAAAGACAACAGUGUUACCCCUUAUGUUUUUCUUCAUGACGACCAAUAAAAAAAACAGUGUUACCCCUUGUGUUUUUUUUCAUGACAACCAAUCAAAAACAACAGUUGUUACCCCUUAUGUUUUUUUUCAUGACGACCAAUAAAAAACAACAGUGUUACCCCUUAUGUUUUUUUUCAUGACGACCAAUAAAAAACAACAGUGUUACCUCUUAUGUUUUUUUUCAUGACGACCAAAGAAAA
ensembl:lncRNA